rnacentral:tRNA from 1 species
GGCUCGUUAGCUUAGCGGUCAGAGCAACCAUUCUAAUAUGGUGGUCGAGGGUUCAACUCCCUCACGAGUCA